rnacentral:tRNA from 1 species
AAGCCUUGGCACACCUUCGUGUGCUUCUCUAGAUUUGCAUUCUAGCGUGAUACACCGCAAGGC